rnacentral:rRNA from 1 species
AUUGAACGCUGGCGGCAGGCCUAACACAUGCAAGUCGAGCGGUAGAGAGGUGCUUGCAUCUCUUGAGAGCGGCGGACGGGUGAGUAAUGCCUAGGAAUCUGCCUAGUGGUGGGGGAUAACGUUCGGAAACGGACGCUAAUACCGCAUACGUCCUACGGGAGAAAGCGGGGGAUCUUCGGACCUCGCGCCAUUAGAUGAGCCUAGGUCGGAUUAGCUAGUUGGUGAGGUAAUGGCUCACCAAGGCGACGAUCCGUAACUGGUCUGAGAGGAUGAUCCAGUCA